UUGGAGGGCAAGUCUGGUGCCAGCAGCCGCGGUAAUUCCAGCUCCAAUAGCGUAUAUUAAAGUUGUUGCAGUUAAAAAGCUCGUAGUUGAAUUUCGGGGUCAGUAGGUUGGUCGUGCCACUGGUACGUACUGGUCUCACUGAUUCCUCCUUCCUGAUGAACCGUAAUGCCAUUAAUUUGGUGUUGCGGGGAAACUGGACUGUUACUUUGAAAAAAUUAGAGUGUUUAAAGCAGGCUAACGCUUGAAUACAUUAGCAUGGAAUAAUGAAAUAGGACGUUCGAUCCUAUUUUGUUGGUUUCUAGGAUUGACGUAAUGAUUAAUAGGGAUAGUUGGGGGCAUUAGUAUUCAAUUGUCAGAGGUGAAAUUCUUGGAUUUAUUGAAGACUAACUACUGCGAAAGCAUUUGCCAAGGAUGUUUUCAUUAAUCAAGAACGAAAGUUAGGGGAUCGAAGACGAUCAGAUACCGUCGUAGUCUUAACCAUAAACUAUGCCGACUAGGGAUCGGAUGAUGUUAAUUUUUUAAUGACUCAUUCGGCACCUUACGGGAAAC
rnacentral:rRNA from 1 species